AACGUAGGAGACGAACGUUAUCCGGAGUUACUGGGCGUAAAGGGCGUGUAGGCGGUUUGUUAAGUCUGGCGUGAAAGCUCUCGGCUAAACCGGGAGAGGUCGUUGGAUACUGGCAAACUAGAGGAUGGUAGAGGCGUGUGGAAUUCCGGGUGUAGUGGUGAAAUGCGUAGAGAUCCGGAGGAACACCAGUGGCGAAGGCGACACGCUGGGCCAUACCUGACGCUAAAGCGCGACAGCAUGGGGAGCAAACGGG
rnacentral:rRNA from 1 species